CACAGAAAGGCUGAAUUUAUUCAUUUUUAUUGUAGAUAAAUGACAUUGCUGCUCCCAGAAACAAGCAGAGAUCCAGUAACAUACUAACAACAUUUGACAAUAAUAAACCGUUAUCCAACAACUCCAGGAUGAUGAUUUAACAUGCUGCGGGACAGAAAAUAAAAAUCUUUACAAAAAUAUGUUACACAAAGAAUACAAUACUACCUUACAUUGAUAAAAGCAUUUUAAAUAUAUUAUUUUUAGUAAUCAAGUCAAUAAUUUGAAUGCACUUUUCAAUGUAAAUGAACAAUGCCUUUAGGACUGUUCACUAUCUUACAUUAACAAAAUGUUUGUCAAACCAACAGACUACAUUUCCCAUAACCCUCUCUGUCCUCACAUACAUUAGAAAUGUCUUCUUACCGAGUCAGAUAAAUGAAACGGGAAUAAGUUAUACAUUUACAGUUUUUUUACACAAAAAUUGGCAUAUAUUUUUCCUCGAUAAAGAGUAGAAAUAUGUCUUUGAGGUGAUGUUUUUAUUGAUAAGUGAGUAAAACAUGCCAGAAGUCUAUUCUACAGCUGGUCUUCUAGACUGAGUGAACAGUGAUCAGAUCAGAGCUUCUGUGGGUAAACCUCUCUACUGGUCAGGAAGGAUACAGAGAACUCUUCUCUGUCGGACACAAUCUAGUUGAGCUCAACGUUGGACAUCAUGUCUGUAUGCCAAACGGCUCCCUAUAUAGACCACUACUAUGGGCCCUAAUCCAAAGUACGGUACUAAAUAGGGAAUAGGGAGCAGUUUGGGACACAGGCCAUUAUGUUGCUGUAAGAACACCCAGCUAAGCUGAUCCAUUAUUGACUUGGACUAAAGAACAUGGGUAACGCUCUUUCGUUUUUUACCCCCCCCCCCCGAAUCCCACAUUUAAUUUCAAAUGCAUGUUGAUGAGAGCAUUCAGGCGACUGGUUGCUGCCAUCCAUUUGGGAUUAAGAAGGGUGAAUUACUCUAAGGGAUCAACGGCCUAAAACCAACAACACCGAACAUCAACAUGUUGACGGUGACCUGUCAGAGACGGCAUCCCAAAUGGAACACUAUAUAGUGCAUAGGUCCUGGUCAACAGUAGUGUACUAUAUAGGGAAUAGGGUGCAUGGGCCCUGUUCAACAGUAGUGCACUAUAUAGAGAAUAGGGUGCAUGGGCCCUGGUAAAAAGUAGUGUACUAUAUAGGGAAUAGGGUGCCUGGGUCCUGGUCAACAGUAGUGUACUAUAUAGGGAAUAGGGUGCCUGGGUCCUGGUCAACAGUAGUGUACUAUAUAGGGAAUAGGGUGCCAUUUGGGAUGUAUCCUGGACAACGGCUGUGUUCGUUUUCCUUCUUCACGUUCUGCUGUUUCUCUUCACACGUCUCCUCUCUCACGUCCAAUGAGGUUGUGUUUUAAGAUGUACACACUGUUUCAGUGAGCCUAAUACACAUUUAUAUUGCUUUGGAAAACACAUCUCGUCAUGGUAUACAGUAAGCUUCAAUAGGUAACAUGUUUGGCAUUUCAGAUCAGUACUGUAGGGGGUAUGACUGGAGAAGAUGGCUCGAGGUAUCUCAACAGUAGGGGGUAUGACUGGAGAAGAUGGCUCGAGGUAUCUCAACAGUAGGGGGUAUGACUGUGGAGAAGAUGGCUCCAGGUACCUCUACAGUAGGAAGUAGGACUGGAGAAGAUGGCUCCAGAUACCUCUACAGUAGGGGGUAGGACUGUGAAGAAGAUGGCUCCAGGUAUCUCAACAGUAGGAAGUAGGACUGGAGAAGAUGGCUCCAGGUACUUCUACAGUAUGGAGUAGGACUGUGGAGAAGAUGGCUCCAAGUACCUCUACAGUAGGUAUGCUUUAGUAUACUUCCCUGUGGAAGUCAUCCUAUAAAUAUAGUUCUGGUAUAAUGACAUCCUGUGACCUCUGACCCCAUGGUGCUUCCCUCUUCUUUCUGAUUGGAUGUUGAUGUUUGUGUGUCUGAUGAGCUAAUAACAGAAGCCUGCAUAGUCGGUCCCAUAGAGCAGGCAGGAGGACCGGGAGACGGACAGACUGACAGCUGCUUGGAGUCCAAAAAUAAAAAGUAGUAUCUUGUGUCCCAAACGGCACCCUAUUCCCUAUGUAGUGCACUACUUUAGACUAGAGCCCUAUGGGACCCUGGUCUAAAGUAGUGCCCUACAUAGGGAAUAGUGUGUCGUUUUGGUUCUUGUUCUAAAGCCUAAGUGAUUCAUCUGUAGUAGUACAUGCAGUCCAAUGUGGUUGUUCCUCGUCUCUCUCUACAGUAAACGGUCUUAAAUCUUCAUGCCCAGCUUGGCUUUCUGUGGAAAAACAAUACGUUAAAUGUUCAGAUAUGCUUUAAACAGUGAUAAAGACUCAAUCAAGUAAAAGUCCAUGUGUAUAUAGUGGCCAAUUAUAUCACUUACGAUUCCCGAAGCAUGCUUGGGUUUGACACUGUAGGUAGCCUUCUCCUUGGCUUGUCUGAAGCACUCCUCUGCCUUCUUCAGUCUGUAUCGCAGAAACACAACAUCACACAGCAGUCACAUAACACACUGCAGUCAGCUACCAUAUACAUCUGGGUCAUAGUGAAAACACACAAUCCUGUCCUGAUACCAGCCCCAUCAUCUAGCCAACCUUCCACCACCUUCAUACAAUGUUUGGGGCACCAUGGACAGAACAUCCAAAUAAACAGUAUAAUCCCACUUAAAAAGAUCCUGCAGGCCUUCAGCCAUGGCGGGCCGACACACUGAUCCUUCUACACAUGUAUUCAAGGUCAUGAGCCGCGGGCCCUGUGUGCUCCUGGAUGCUGAUUGGUUGUAAAGGGAUCCGGAAAGGAACUCCAUUCCCAUCAGGAACAGUGGCUCCCCAUUACGGAGGUGGAGCGGUCAGGACAAACCAUUCCCAUCAGGAACAGGGGCUCCCCAUUACAGAGGUGGAGCGGUCGGGACAAACCGUUCCCAUCAGGAACAGUGGCUCCCCAUUACGGAGGUGGAGCGGUCGGGACAAACCGUUCCCAUCAGGAACAGGGGCUCCCCAUUACGGAGGUGGAGCGGUCGGGACAAACCGUUCCCAUCAGGAACAGGGGCUCCCCAUUACGGAGGUGGAGCGGUCGGGACAAACCCCUCCCAUCAGGAACAGGGGCUCCCCAUUACAGAGGUGGAGCGGUCGGGACAAACCGUUCCCAUCAGGAACAGUGGCUCCCCAUUACAGAGGUGGAGCGGUCGGGACAAACCGUUCCCAUCAGGAACAGGGGCUCCCCAUUACAGAGGUGGAGCGGUCGGGACAAACUGUUCCCAUCAGGAACAGGGGCUCCCCAAUAGAGGUGGAGCACUCGGGACAAACCGUCCCCAUCAGGAACAGGGGCUCCCCAUUACAGAGCGGGACAAAGGCAGACAGGGACGAUGACAGGAGUUCAAUUAACCAGCCCUGUGAUGUCAAAACCCUGGUGAAAUGAAUAGCACAUAGAAUUAGAAAAAGGUUUUUUUACCAGAUAUUGUUCAUCCUGAUCAGACAGAUUACAAUUACUUCAAACAAUUGAAUAUUAUGAAAAAUCGAAGAUUAUCAAUCUGAUUAAGUAUGAAUAGAAUGUAUAUUUAAAUGCCUGGAUGACUUUACAUUUUGGUGAAUCUCUUAUACAGGAGAGAGGGGCGAGGGGGUUAAAGUUAUGUACAGCAACCCCAGAUGUAAAAUAGUAAAUAAAUGGUAACUUCUUAGAAAGUAUUGAACUUUUAAGAGGAGUAAAACAAGGAUGUCCGUUGUCUCCAUAUUUAUUUAUUAUGACCAUUGAAAUACUAGCUAUUAAAAUUAGAUCCAACAACAACAUCAAGGGGUUGGAAAUCCAAGGUUAAGAAACAAAAAUGUUACGUUUUUACUUAAGUCAGGAAUCUGGAUGCCUGCACAGUCUCAUUGAAUAUCUUGGUCACUUUUCUAGCCUCGCUGUACUAAAAACCUAACUAUAACAAGUGCACCAUAUUACGUAUUGGGAUCGUUAAAAAAGUGUUUACACUACUUUGUAGUUUCCCAAUAAAAUAGGCGGAUGGUGAAGCAGACAUACUUAUUCACAUCUCAAAAAAUAUAAAUUAACUACCACAAUCAAUUUCAAUAGAAAGGGUUAGGGUUAGUAUAUAUAAUAUAAAUUAACUACCACAAUCAAUUUCAAUAGAAAGGGUUAGGGUUAGUAUAUAUAAUAUAAAUUAACUACCACAAUCAAUUUCA
ensembl:lncRNA